UAGGGAAUCUUCCGCAAUGGGCGAAAGCCUGACGGAGCAACGCCGCGUGAGUGAUGAAGGUCUUCGGAUCGUAAAACUCUGUUAUUAGGGAAGAACAAACGUGUAAGUAACUAUGCACGUCUUGACGGUACCUAAUCAGAAAGCCACGGCUAACUACGUGCCAGCAGCCGCGGUAAUACGUAGGUGGCAAGCGUUAUCCGGAAUUAUUGGGCGUAAAGCGCGCGUAGGCGGCUUUUUAAGUCUGAUGUGAAAGCCCACGGCUCAACCGUGGAGGGUCAUUGGAAACUGGAAAACUUGAGUGCAGAAGAGGAAAGUGGAAUUCCAUGUGUAGCGGUGAAAUGCGCAGAGAUAUGGAGGAACACCAGGGGCGAAGGCGACUUUCUGGUCUGUAACUGACGCUGAUGUGCGAAAGCGUGGGGAUCAAACAGG
rnacentral:rRNA from 1 species